UGAAGGAGAAACCUCCCCUCACCACCCUGACAAUGGAGGACUACCAAGCUGAAAAAGACAGUCCCAGAAACACAGCAAGCGUUCACCAGCCACAGAAGAGCAACAGCAAGGAUGGAUAGAAGACAACGAUGAAUCUUACUGUCUGGAUUUGACUGUGACUGUGAUGGUUCACGUGUUAUCCCAGAAACCACAACACCCAAAACCGUCACCAACUUUAACUUUUAUAAAGCUUUUCAAUAUCAUAGCUAAAAAAAAAAAGGAAGAUGAAAAAGGAAGGAAAAAAAAACGAGCCAUCAUCCAAAA